AAUCCUUUUACAAGAUCCCCCCAUCAUGUUGACGGUUACAGGCUGCUUGGCAGCUCAGCUCUCCCACCUUCGUCUGGGAAGCUAGAGGACAAAGGCCCUCCACCAGAAGGAAGCCUCUCCUUCACUAGGCCCUCUGCAAAUCUCAGCAGAAAUAAAAUAAAACAGAACCACAGAUCCAUUCUAAGACAAACUUUGAAAAGAGUGCCAAGGAUAGCAAAGAUCUAAUUCCAGCGGGGUCACCAACUAACCCAGUCUCGGUCUGGGUGACACUCCAGCAAUGAGAUCCUUACUUCCUGAACCUUCCACCUAGCUCUGCUAUAAUGUGUCCUUGAUCCAAAGGCCACUGUCCAUGCAAAAGUUUUGAAAGAAAAAUGGAAGCUCUCAGAAGUUCCAGGACCCAUUUGCAGCUCACAGAGCCCCCAGUGGAUUAAGUGCCAAUGGAAUUUAGAGAGAAAAAAAAGUCAAACUUACUUCAUCCACAUGCCCCACAGCUCCAUAGAUUCUCGCCAUUUGUCCGAUGAGGUAGGGGAAUCUCUCACCAAUCUCUUUCAGCAUUGGAAGAAAACUGUUCAAAGCCACAGGUUCAUAGCCUGCUAUCUCUAUGAGGAUGUUUAGGAUGACAUCAUUAUGGGUUGAGUCUUUCAAAUGCCUGAUUAGGAAAGGAAUACACUUCUGAACCACCUAUGAAAAGAAAAGAGAGAGGAAGAGAAGAGAAACAAAGAGGAAAAUUAAUUAAAUCAGGACUAAUUUAAUAUUUUUUGAUUUUAUGAAAUCUGAAGUCAACACAUUCUGGGAUUAUUGCCCUCAUUGGAACUCAAGCAAAUACAAGUCUGAAAUUUAGAAUUUACAAUAAAAUUUCAGAAGCUUCAGUUUGUUUCCCUUUUUCAUUUCAUCUGUGCUCUGCUAUUGAAGAGUAAUAACAUUACAUUAUAAAAUGUUUAGAAGCUGCUAUUCAUAAGUCAAGUUUUGAUAUGUUAUAUCCUCACCAGAAUAUUAAAUUUCCUCCAAUCCACCAUAAAAGUGCAACUUAAAGGGCAAUAUAAAUAUGCAAAAGAUACUUGAUGACUUCAAUGAAAGCCUUCAAAUUGGAGAAGUAUGGUUUGGAAAUAUUUAAUAAUAAAAAUAAGAAAGCAGGAAACAGCCUUUAAAUUUUCUUCAAUAUUCCAUUUUGAUCACAAAAAAGUACUAAGAUAAAAAAUAUUUCUAAAGUAAAAUAAUUUCUACCAUAUUCCUGACACCCUAAUAUGGCUUUCUUGAUUUUGAAUCCUUGUAUUAAUAUAAAGAUGCAAUAAUUCAUAUUGAAGAAAACGUGACUUUUUGUGGAAUAAAGUCACUAUGUUAAUACAUAGACACAUUGCACACUGACAACUUAAUGAAUUGUUUUGUCUGCUAAAAUAAAACAAUUAGAAAGGACAACCCGUGGAAACUGAACAGUAAAAAUAAAAACAAUUUGCCCAUCUAUA